rnacentral:lncRNA from 1 species
GAAAUGAACAUUUUACCUCAGUAACUCAUGCUGUAUGGUCUGUGGCCAUAUGUCUAUUUUUUAGACUCCAAACUAGUUUUACUUUUUCCCAAUAAACAAAAAAUUGGGAGGGAGUCUGGUACAGUGUUUUUAAAAAAUAAUCUAACUGAACUAGUAAGUCUAUGAAUUCCAGUUUUCAGUUAGCAAAUGUCAGGGGGAAAUCAUCCCUUAUGCAUUCCUAUUUUACAUUACCUCCUUAUUUCAGCCCCUACCAUUAGAUAAAAUGGAAAAGGUAAAAAUAUCUUUAAAUAUCUUCUCUUCUCUUCCUCCCACUCUGUAGGUUACAGAAUAGAGAAAGGUCAGGUACAUCUUCUACUUCACCAAUAAGCAUAAAAUAGAAAAAUGUUUAGGAAACAAAAAGGAAGUAAAUAUCGGUUUCCUACCAUUCCAUGUGAAAACAAGCUGUGAAGAACCAGAUGACCACUCCCAUCAAAUUGACAGUAAAUACCUAAAAAAGGGUAUAAACACAAGGACAAAGGGAUCAGAAAAAGCAACAAUAGUGAACAAGAGAUAAUCAUGAACAUCUGGAAUGCAGAGGCAGAUAGAAAAAUUAUUAGGGAAGACACUAAAUGAGUCUUUCGACUUUGAAGAAAAGCAAGUGGACUUGAAUUCCAUGGGUGUAAGCUCCAGAAGAUGGGAAUUUUGUUCACCUCAUUCAAAGUAUCCUGCAUUUGGCAUAUAGUAGUCAUCAUUUUUGUGGAUAAAUGAAUAGCUAUACCCAUGUGAAUAAACUAUAUCUUAGCAAUUCAUCCGUAAGUAUGGACAUAUGUGUACCCUGCUAAUCAUAUUUAAUGUUAUUACAGGCUAUGUGACUUUGGCAAGUUAUUUUAUCUCUGUGGCUCAGUUUUGUAACUCUAAAAUGGGACUAAUAAUGGUAUCUAAUUUAUAGAGUUAUUGGGAGAAUUAAAAAAAUUAAUUCACAUCAAGCAGUUUGAAAGGGCCCGAUACAUGGUUUAAUUACUCCAUAAACUUUAGUUUGUGUUUAUUAUUAAAGUAUGGCUUUUUUGUUUAUUCAUUUUUUUAAUAAAGAAAAUUUCAAACAUUUAUAAUAGAAUAGUAAUAUAAUGAAUCCCCAUGUAUCAUCACCCAGUUUCAAUAAUUAUUAACAUAUGGCUGAUUAUUUUUGUCCUCUAUCCCCACUUUUUUAAAAAGGAAAAUUUAGAGAUUAUAACCUGAAAU